rnacentral:rRNA from 1 species
AUGCCGCUCAGACGACUCCUCGCCGGCGAAAAUUCCAUAUUUCGUCGUCCUGGCCAUUCCACGAUUUGUCUUCCCGAUGGCCGAUACAUCGAUGUCUACACUGACGACGAUGGGACUCUCGUCACCGGCGGAUCGGAGGGCCGGCCGCCACGGCCUGUCCAAGAAAUCUUCGCCGACAUCCGGCGCCGUCAGGCGGCGGCUGAGGACGCCGCCCGUCGCCUCCACUACCCGCAGCGGCGUCCACAGCCCCGUCCACCAUCAGAUUCGGCCUCCACGAGCCAACCACCUCCAACCCCCUCCCCUCCCCUCCACUCCACUCCACCAUCAGAUGCAGCCCACCCCCCUGCAACCCCUUCCCCUCCCCUCCACCGUCAGCUGCAGCCUCCACAAACCGAACCCAUCCCCUAUGCUCCAGGCAAGCCUCGCCCCUUUACACUCACCGAGCUGGAUGCGAUACGUCGACGCGUAGCAGAUGCAUCUAAGGAAUUCGCCCACUCCGACUACGCUGACGGGGAUGGGGAACUCUUCACGGACGUCGACAAGAUAUCUCAACGCGUAGCAGAUGUACGCAUGGAAGUCGCCUGCUCCGACAUCCAGACGAGGCCCUACGAUCGGCCGCAACCUCCACAGUGCGAGUACCCUUCUUAUGAUGUGCCUGAGCAGUUGGAAACGCCACUGCUAGAGCCAAAGAACACCAACACUUCAUCUUCCUCCACACAGCCAGAGGCGCUAACUCAUGACAUCUUGCCAGUGUCGAGGCAAUUGUCUCCGCCUAUUUUCGCUCGCAAUCCUUCUGGUUGGCAUAUACAGUUUUUCAUCAGAAUAGAUGUCGAGGGUUCUUUCCACACGUAUCCUAGUCUGGGCGGACCAUUCCAGAGCUUGCAGGAAGCUGAGAAUGCUAUCACUAGCCAUCUUGAUGAGCUGCGCUCUCCAAUGAUGUGCACAGAUGGGCUUUCGGAUGCUGAGAUUGGUAUAUUACACGACCUUUACUGGCCUGAUGGCACAAGGCAGAAUUCUUCUGAAGGCGAUGCGGACCAUAGGAAUAUAAGCUUAUUGGUUCAAGCGUUACUGGACAAAUACAAUGAAGAUCACCAUCUUCUGGGGGAUUUUGCACAUGAACUUGAUGAUGUUGUUAUCUUCCGAGAAUUUGUUGAGGGGGAGAAAGUGGUUAGGUUCUAUCAUAUCAAUCUGGCUACAAAAACCAAAGGAGAAGAUGGUUUGCACAGUGGCGUCAACAAUCUAUUUUUUGCUGAAGUCAGACAAAUUAAAGGAGAAAAUGUAUAUGUACUCAGUUGUUUAUGUAUGGUUAAACCUACUGACAGUGGCCAAUGCUAUGGUUGCUUGAGUUAUGGAAAUAUUGAUUUGAAGCACCCUGUUGAUACUGAUAAAUACAAAGGUGGCCACACUGCCCCGCGCUCACCCUGUUGCGGUUUUGAUCUACGGUGUGAUGUACCUGCAUACAUUGAGGAUGAGGAUGAGGAGGCUAGGCUGGCGAAGGAGGAGGCUAGGUUAAGAUAUAUAUACAAGUGCCCUGCUCCGGCAAAAUUGGAUGGUGCAAGAGUGCGUGCUGGUUUGGCAAAGAGAGAGGAUGCUGGUUUGACCAAGGGAGAGUGUGGCCAGGGAAAAGCGAAAUACAUUGUGCCUGCUAGGCGUCGUCUGCUGGUUUGA